UUUGUUUGUUUGAAAAAGAAAGUGGAAGGUUGUAUGUUUCUCUAAUGCUUCUCAAAGAUGACUCCGGAUCAGAGUCCAAAAUUUGGAAAUUUUCUUCUGUCCUUUCCAAGAACUACUCCAGAAUAUAGCAGCACAACUCAAUACCGUAUCCAGCCUACUUUGUGUAAAAUUAAAGAGGUUACAUAGGACUUUAUCACUUAUUACUUUU